GAUUUGGGAGCAAAUGAAGGAGAAGAAUGUUGAACCAGAUGUACGAAGUUAUAAUGCGAAGUUGCUUGGAUUGACAUUGGAGAAGAGAAUGGAAGAUGCGGUUAAGGUUGUUGAAGAAAUGAAGAGUGAGGGGAUUCAACUUGAUACCUUUAGUUACAGCACUUUGAUAAGAGGGUUUGUUAAUGAGGGGGAUUUGAAGAAAGCUAAGCAUUGGUAUCAUGAGAUAGGGAGAAGUGGUUGUAAACGGGAUAAAUUGACUUUGGAGGGCUUGAUUCCUUUUGCCCUUCAGAAGGGUGAUUUUAUGUUUGCUUAUGGUAUUUGCAAGGAUGUUCUCUGUAGCAAGUUGCUUGUUCAAAAUGCUCUGAUACAAAGUGUGGUGGAUGCAUUGGCUAAGGAGUCAAGGAUUGAAGCAGCAAAGGAGCUUGUGAAUCUUGGGGAUGCACAUCAUACCUAUUCGUACAAGUUGAAUUUGCCUUCUAUUUAGCUAUGUAUUGUCCUUUAUGGUUUUGACUUUUUAUCCGGUAAAGCUGCAAAUGUUUAGAAAAUACGUAGUUUACUAAGCAUUUGGAGUUAAAUAAUUCCAAACAUUUUAGCUUGGAGAUGCUUUUCAAUAAGUAGUACUCCAGAAUUUUCUGUUUGUUUGGUUUUGUAUUUUAUGGUCGUGGUAGUUAAUCUAUCUUUUAACCUGUCAAUGACAUUUGCAAGCUCUGAUUUUAUUUUAUAUAAAUUUUAUAUUGUUAGAUUUGCUAGAUUUUGUUUUCAUGUUGUUACGCAUCAUUUCACAGUUGAGUGCCUGUUAUGAAUGCACCAAUGAAGUCCUAAACUAUUUCACAGAUGAAAUUGCUUUGAGAUGCAAUUUCUUGUAUUGUACAGUUCCUCAAUCUGUCUGAAAAUUCAUCUUUCAGCAAUCUUCGCUUUGGAUGGCUGUCGCCUUUGUAUAUGAGCCCCUUAGUACUCAAUCUACAUGAUUGUUUAAUAUUUAGUUAAAUGUUGUUCUUUAUCACUAUGUUUGCCACAGAUCAUGGAGCAGAUUUAGAUUGUUUACUCACUCGCAUUGAGAUAAUAUGAUCAUCUGUGCAUUCUUAGGCAUAUAAUAUGUGUUCCAAAUAUGUUUCAAAUGCAGAUGUUAACUACUAGUUUAACGAAGUUGGAAGCUUGGUAACUUCAAAGAUAUUGUUUAGAACUGAUAAAGGGGGUCCAUAUGAGAAUGUGGUUUUAGUUGGAUUUAUCUGUUUCUCUGGAAAUUCACUGUUCUCAAAUCUGAAGUGUUCCAAUUUGACUAAACCCCGGAGCAAGAAUAUGAUUUUAUGAUUGUUGUUUUAGUUAUCAAACGACAACCAGUAUAUUGAGUAGGUAGAGUUUGUUAUGGCACCCUUGAGAAAUACUCGAGCUAAAAUCAAACAAAAUAAGUCCGAUGGAAAUGUGCAUGGACUGGAGUUUCCUCUUUAUCCUGUUGGCAUGACUUCAUUUCACUUGUUGGAAAUUUCAUUGUAUUACUUCAUCGAUUACAUCUUGAGUUGCUUCUAAUUGCACUGGCUGUUUAUAUUUAUUUAUAAUACAAAGUUAUAUCUUUUUAAUUAUAAAAAUCAUCAUUUUUUCAAUAAAGGUAUAUAAUGAAUUUAUAUACUUUGUAUUUUUAGUUUUAUCCCUAAGUUUAAAAAUUAGUUAGUAGAUGUAAGAUAAAAUUAAUGUAUUUAAUAAUCAUUGUUGUACUUUAAUUAUUUUUUUUGUCAUGGUUUUUGCAAAUUAGAUAUUCAUCAAGAUGAUAUUAUUAUAAAUCUCAAAUUAAUAAUAAAAGAGUAUGCUAGAGAUACUUGAUGUUUAUCAUUGUAUGUGUGUGUGUGUAAUAUAUAUAUUACAAUCCAAAAUAAAAACAAUUCUCUAAGUAAAGAAAUUGAAGUAUAAAUAAUAAUAAAUUGAAAAAUGUAAUAUAUUAAAAUUAUUUGAAAUAGUUUAUAAUUAGAAAAGACAAUAAUAAUAAUAAAAAAAGACAUUAAAAAGGGUGUUUUUAUGAAUAUUAAAAGAGUUAAAGGACAAAGCAUUUAAAAAAGAAAACCACGUGUCGUGUAUUUCUUUUUUGGAGCCCCUUAAAACCCUCUGUAAACCCCCCCGCGAACUCUCCAGCCACAACCCAUAAAAUCGGGAUGUCGUCUGUUCUCCGCCUUCUCCGCCGUGCAUUACCCGCCUCUACCUCUGCCGCGGCUUCCGACACCACCAAAGCCAAAUCUUACUGGACAGAAAUCAUUAAAGAACGCAACCUUGAGCAUCUCGUUGAGAAAUUCAAAAAUGCAUCUGUAGACGAGGAUUUCCGCACAAAAACUUUUGUUUACAAAAACGCCAUUCACCGUCUUGCAGCCGCCCGGGAAUUUAACUACGUAGAAGAGAUUUUAGAGGACCAGAAACAAUAUAAGGAUAUAUAUAAAGAGGGUUUUAACGGUCGUUUGAUUUCUCUGUAUGGUGUAGCGGGCAUGUUCGAUAAUGCACGCAAGGUGUUCGACGAAAUGCUUGAAAGAAAAUGUGCUCGGACGGUCCUGUCUUUUAAUGCGUUGUUGGGGGCUUGUGUUAAUUCGAAGAAGUUUGAUGAAGCAGAAGGGUUGUUUAAAGGGCUAUCCAAGGAGUUAGAGAUUGAACCAGAUUUGGUUUCGUAUAAUACAGUCCUUAAGGCUUUUUGCGUGAUGGGCUCCAUGGAUUCGGCUGCUUCAUUGCUAGAUGAGAUGGAGAAGAAAGGCUUGGAGCCUGAUUUGAUUACUUUUAAUACGCUUUUACAUGGGUUUUAUGCGAAAGGAAGGUUUGUUGACGGGGAGCGGAUUUGGGAGCAAAUGAAGGAGAAGAAUGUUGAACCAGAUAAACGGAGUUAUAACUUGAAAUUGCUUGGAUUGACAUUGGAGAAUAGAAUGGAAGAUGCGGUUAAGGUUGUUGAAGAAAUGAAGAGUGAGGGGAUUCAACUUGAUACCUUUAGUUACAGCACUUUGAUUAGAGGGUUUGUUAAUGAGGGGGAUUUGAAGAAAGCUAAGCAUUGGUAUCAUGAGAUAGGGAGAAGUGGUUAUAAACGGGAUAAAUUGACUUUGGAGGGCUUGAUUCCUUUUGCC
rnacentral:lncRNA from 1 species